UGACAACAUUCUAUGAAGCCAUUCCCACUA
rnacentral:piRNA from 1 species